GUCCGACUCUGUUGCCUCCGGGGCGACCCUGCCUUCGGGCGGGGGCUCCGGGUGGACACUUCAAACUCUUGCGUAACUUUGCAGUCUGAGUAAACUUAAUUAAUAAAUUAAAACUUUUAACAACGGAUCUCUUGGUUCUGGCAUCGAUGAAGAACGCAGCGAAAUGCGAUAAGUAAUGUGAAUUGCAGAAUUCAGUGAAUCAUCGAAUCUUUGAACGCACAUUGCGCCCCCUGGUAUUCCGGGGGGCAUGCCUGUUCGAGCGUCAUUUCACCACUCAAGCCUCGCUUGGUAUUGGGCAACGCGGUCCGCCGCGUGCCUCAAAUCGACCGGCUGGGUCUUCUGUCCCCUAAGCGUUGUGGAAACUAUUCGCUAAAGGGUGUUCGGGAGGCUACGCCGUAAAACAACCCCAUUUCUAAGGUUGACCUCGGAUCAGGUAGGGAUACCCGCUGAACUUAAGCAUAUC
rnacentral:rRNA from 1 species